rnacentral:rRNA from 1 species
AUGUGCAAAGUCAUUCGUGAUAACCUCAAAGCAGCCCAGUCCCGCCAGAAGAGCUACUAUGAUAGUAAGCACCGUGAAUUAGCUUUCGAGAUCGGAGAUCAUGUUUACCUCCGCGUCUCUCCCAUGAAAGGUACUCGUCGCUUCGGUAUCAAAGGGAAGCUUGCCCCUAGAUACGUGGGACCUUUCAAGAUUGUCAGCAAGAGAGGCGACCUCGCCUAUCAACUCGAGCUUCCUUCAAACUUUGCAAAUGUUCAUGAUGUGUUCCAUGUCUCUCAGCUUCGGAAGUGCUUCAAGACUCCUGACCGCACCGUCAACUUCGAGGACAUUGAGCUCCAAGAAGAUCUCUCUUAUCGUGAGCACCCAGUUGCUAUUCUUGAAGAGACUGAACGCAAGACUCGCAACAAGUCAAUCAAAUUCCUCAAAGUUAAGUGGUCACACCAUUCCGACCGUGAAGCUACCUGGGAACGCGAGGAUCACCUCCGUUCUGAGUACCCGGAGUUCUUUCAGUCCUAG